GACGGAGGGUGCUAGCGUUGUUCGGAAUCACUGGGCGUAAAGGGCGCGUAGGCGGCCAAGGCAGUCGGCUCGUGAAAGCCCGGGGCUCAACCCCGGAGGUGCGGCCGAUACUCUUUGGCUGGAGGCCGGAAGAGGAGGGUGGAAUACCCAGUGUAGAGGUGAAAUUCGUAGAUAUUGGGUGGAACACCGGUGGCGAAAGCGGCUCUCUGGUCCGGACCUGACGCUGAGGCGCGAAAGCGUGGGGAGCAAACAGG
rnacentral:rRNA from 1 species